UUCCGGUUUUGUGUUGAACAGGCAAAGUAUCACCGCUCCGUAUUUUAAACUGCUAACUACACACCUAUACUUCAGGAACUAUUACUACUAUGUGGAUGUAAGCAAAGUGUUCUCAUUCCCUCUUGGAUGUGUGCAGCCAGUGAGGUACGUUUUGUUUAAGGGCUUGUUAUAUCUGCUCGACGGCACGGACAGCUAACUGGGAUAGCGAGUGGAGCUAGCGGCUGCCGGAUGGAGCAGCCAGUCAGCCAGCUUGCUAACUACACACCGGUGCUUACGUCCACAUGUACUCAACGAAGUGGAAACGCCUUUGACGAUGGCCCGUGCAAAGUCAUGCCACCAGUCUGAGGACAUCACUGGGAAUGGCACAUGGGACACGUGGCUUUCAACUCCAGCGAGGUGGGCUUCACCGCGGGCAAUCGUGGCAAAGACCCAAGUCGACUGGACCACAGCGGAAAAUGAUCCUUCCAGAGAAGAAGUUAUUUACUUCUACAACGAAUGGAAGAGUUACAACUUCCAGAUGACAGCUCGCCGCUCAUCCUUCUGGGCAACUUGAACAUCCGACAGAACUUAUGUGACCCUACUGCGUUUAUUUUCUCCUUUAGCUCUCACUAACUCUAACUUGCCCCAGCACCUGUUGUGAUUUAUUCUAGCGCUUCCACAAUUGAAUUUUGCUUGGUAUUUCAUCUAACUUGCCCCAGCACCUGUUGUGAUUUAUUCUAGCGCUUCCACAAUUGAAUUUUGCUUGGUAUUUUAUCUAACUUGCCCCAGCACCUGUUGUGAUUAAUUCUCUCUCACGGUGUCAAGUGUGUACCUUGAUCUUUUUUUUGCUCAUUGCAGCCCUUCUCUGCAAGGAGUGCUAACAAUGCAUGGUGCUGUUCAUUAAGCAACUGGGUAAAGAGCUUGUAAUGCCACAUAUGAAAAAGCUCAUAAGCUCAUUUAUAAUAAAAUAAUAUAUAUAAUCUUGCCUUGACUGAAUGGGGGCGAUCAAAGUUAUUUUGGUGACGUUUUGAUCAUUGAUUCACAACAAGUCCUGUGUUGUAUAGGUUUGCUUGAUGCUUUGGAAUCUGUAGACCUGGAUUUGUUAUCAACCUGAAUUGACAAUCCAUUGACAACAUUGCUGGAAUCUCCUCUCCCUUAAGACUGCAAUAUUACUUUUAGCUGAAAGUACAUGGCUCCACUGAUUCAAUUUGAAUUCACCAAUAUAUAAUGCCCCGGGGGAGAAGCGGAUCUUACUAAAUGUAUUCAUUAAUUCAUUAAGCAAAGCUCUCUUCAGGAAGACAGCCACGUCGUCAUCCAGCGGGUUUGGUUAAAAAGUUUACAUAUCUUGAUGGAGCAAAAGAGGUGGGGUUAGCUGUCGUCAUUGUACCUCGACUAAUCCAAGG